UCACGUGAUGACGCUCUAAAGCCCGGAUGAAGCGUGUAGCUCCAAGUCAGUCUUGUACGGAACGUGUUAGUGUAAAGAUGUACUAGAGUCGGUUGUAAAUAUUUGUAGGGAUAAGAUCUAACUUAUAUUCCGCGGACGUCGCCACUGAAAUCAAAUUGUGUGAUCCAGUCACGUGACCAGUUUUGUUUUUCUUUAUCACGUCUUUUUGUUUUGUUUUUAGUUUGGCGAAUCAUCACGUCAUGGGGGAAGUGGACUAAACAGUCAUCAGACAUUGAAGUUUUGUUCAGGCUGAUGGAAAGUGGACCAGUGCUUUGGCCUGGAUGUUAUCAGACCACUAACCUGUGGAUCAAACUAGUUUGAACAAUUGACAUUUAGGGUAGGAGCAAGGGCAUCGUACUAAAAUAAAAGGUUCUCAAACUA